CAACAGUCCUCACAACAACAGGGGCCAUAAUUCUCCCCAUUUUAUAGAUGAAUAUACUGAGGUACAGACAAAUUAAAUGAUUCAAUAUGGAUCAUAUAGCUAGUAAGGGUCUAAGGCAGAAUUUGAACUCGGUUCUCUUUCCUAUCCAGUGCUAAGGGAAGGCAUGGGGAUUCACAACCAAGGAAGGCUUCCUAGAGGAGGGGAGAACCUUGAAGCCCUUCCCAGGACUUCCCUCCAGGAAGGGAGGUAGGUGGGCUCCUUCUCCUCCCCUGGUCACUGAGCCUUCUGGCCUUGGAUUACAGGCACAAGACUCCCAGAGACAUGGACCAAGCUGAGCUGCUGGGAGCUGGAGCCACCCUUCUGUUCCUCGGGGCUGUGGCGGGCAUGUGUGUGUGGUGCCCCCGCUUAGGUACAAGAAGGUCCAAGCAGAUCUUUUAUGAGCAGAGGUAUCUGGAAAUCUGCUUCCUGCUUGCUAGCUCUUCUCUAAGCUCCUGCUGGUUUCAUGGCAUGCAUUAGGCUUUGCGGGUAUAUCCUGCCCCUGUGGGCUUCUGCACAUACAUGAGUGAUCAUACAUUUUUGGCGUAUCGGAUCCUCAUUCUUCUACUUACAGUAGCUAGAGUUUCAAUAGCACCUUGUGGUUUGCUACAUAAAUAAUUUGUAAAUAUUGUUUCUAUGUAAGUAAUAUGUACAACUUUGUAAAUAUUUUCUCAUUUGACCCUCACAACAACAUUGUGAAGUAGGUUCUAUUAUUAUCUCCAUUUUGGGGUUGCUGUUUAGUCAUAUCAGUGGCAUCCCACUCUUCAUGACUCCAUUGAUGUUUUCUUGGCAAAGACACUGGAGUGGUUUGUCAUUUCCUAUUCCUGCUCAUUUGGAAGAUGAGGAAACUGAGGUAAACAGGGUCAAGUGUCUUGCUCAAGAUCAUAUGGCUAGUGUUUGAGGCCAGAUUUGAAAUCAGGAAGAUGAGUCUUCCUGACUCCAGGUUCUCCACUGUGCCACCUGGAUGCCCUUUCCCCAUUUUACAGGUAAGGAAACUGAGGAUAAAAGGAGAGGAAAUGACUUGCCCAGGGUCUCACAGGUAGUAAGGCAGGAUUCAAACUCAGAUUUUUUUGGACUCUAAGUUCAGGGCUCUAACCAUUGUGAUACACUAUCUACCCCUCCCCACUUAGGCUCUUUGGGUCUCAGUUUCCUCAUCUGUAAAAUGAGAGAUUAAACCAGAUGACCUCUGGAGCUUUUCCAGCUCUAAAUCUAUGAUGCAUGCAUGUCUGUCCACAACUAGACCUACUGUGUGUCUGUCUGCAUUAUAGAUGUGCCUACACUAAUUCACAUAAGAGACUUAAGAGGUAUUUCUCCAUUAUGUCUCUCCUGGCUUUUGGUGAUCCAAGUCUCCCUUUCUAGAUGAAGGAAGAUGCUUCUCAGGUCACUCUUUUUUUUUUUUUAAUCCUCACCUUCCAUUUUAGAAUCACUACUGUGUAUCAGUUUCAAGGCAGAAGAGCAGUAAAGGCUGGGCAAUGAGGUU
rnacentral:lncRNA from 1 species